rnacentral:rRNA from 1 species
AGUGAACGCUGGCGGUAGGCCUAACACAUGCAAGUCGAACGGCAGCACAGUAAGAGCUUGCUCUUACGGGUGGCGAGUGGCGGACGGGUGAGGAAUACAUCGGAAUCUACUUUUUCGUGGGGGAUAACGUAGGGAAACUUACGCUAAUACCGCAUACGACCUACGGGUGAAAGCAGGGGAUCUUCGGACCUUGCGCGAUUGAAUGAGCCGAUGUCGGAUUAGCUAGUUGGCGGGGUAAAGGCCCACCAAGGCGACGAUCCGUAGCUGGUCUGAGAGGAUGAUCAGCCACACUGGAACUGAGACACGGUCCAGACUCCUACGGGAGGCAGCAGUGGGGAAUAUUGGACAAUGGGCGCAAGCCUGAUCCAGCCAUACCGCGUGGGUGAAGUAGGCCUUCGGGUUGUAAAGCCCUUUUGUUGGGAAACAAAAGCAGCAGGUUAAUACCCCGCUGUUCUGACGGUACCCAAAGAAUAAGCACCGGCUAACUUCGUG